rnacentral:rRNA from 1 species
GCUAAUACCGGAUAAUAUUUUGAACCGCAUGAUUCAAAAGUGAAAGACGGUCUUGCUGUCACUUAUAGAUGGAUCCGCGCUGCAUUAGCUAGUUGGUAAGGUAACGGCUUACCAAGGCAACGAUGCAUAGCCGACCUGAGAGGGUGAUCGGCCACACUGGAACUGAGACACGGUCCAG